CUGAGUGUGAUAACUGAGAGGAAGUCAUUGCCAUUUUCCAAGUGGCUUGGACAGAGCGGGAGCAACAGACAUGGAAGCAAGUUGGUGGUUCUGGUAGUUCUCAAAAUGAAGUUGUGGGCCUGGAAGGCAAGGCAAGAGCUGUCUCCCGCACCUUCAGGUUUUCUUUCUCAGAAAAGUAACCUCAAAGUCAGAAGAGUACAGGAUGGAAGAAGCCCGAGUCCCUGAGACCAUUACAACUUUAUCAAGGAUCAAUUUCUACCCAAAGAACCAUUUGAAAACCAUUACCCCAAGAUGACAUAAUGGAUUUUUCAAAAGAAUGUGGUCAGUCAUGGAAACAUGAACUAAAUGAGAAACAGAGACUAUCAUUUGUUAUGUCUACCCCAGCACCAUCCGGGGAAGAGAGGGUUAUAAUAAGUCAUCUUUGGCUAUAUCCCAUCCCACUGGCAAGAACAUUAUUAACAUGAAAAUGGUUGAACAGAGUGGCCCAUCAUCAGACUUUUGAUGUUUUGAUCCUGUUGACAAAAAUAUUCUCACUGUAAAGUAGAUGAA